rnacentral:RNase_P_RNA from 1 species
CAAGUAUGAAAGACGGUUGCGAGUCCAUGGGACUCGAGGAAAGUCCGAGCUCCAUAGGGCAGGAUGCCAGAUAACGUCUGGCGAGGGUAACCUUAGGGAAAGUGCCAUAGAAAAGGAAACCGCCACGUCAGUGGUAAGGGUGGAAAGGUGAGGUAAGAGCUCACCAGCAGUUUGGUAACAGGCUGGCUCGGUAAACCCCAUCCGGAGCAAGACCGAAUAGGGAAGGGUUAAGGGUGGUCCCGCCUACCUUCCGGGUUGUGUCGCUCGAGCG